GGGUUGGUUGGAUCACCAUCCUCUGGUGUCAUGGUCAUGAAUUGUCACUGCGUCGCUUGCUUCCAAAUCCAUCCCCCUCCAAUCACAAGGCUUCCUACGAUCCCCUCCCUCACGCGCUCCCACGGCCGCCGCUAAAUCGCCCCACUCGGAGGUCCGUGAUGCCCAUGACGCCACACGUCUCGAUGCUGCCGGACGUGACGACGAGGCAGAGGAGGAGAGGGAGGCGAUGACGACAACUCCCCUCCAACCUUUUUUUACCUGGCGCCGAUGGUCGUCCCACGGCGGCGCGUCCCCGCCCCCCGUCGUGUCGUCCCGAUGGCAAAUUUGGUGACCAGCUGCCCUCCACCUCAGUGGUUGGUCUUCCCCAUCUCCUAGCUCGCGAGGUAAAUAUAGAGGAGGACAUCACCGAUCUGGAUCUGGGACAAGCUGGGGGCAGUGAUGUAGGGGUACUUCGUCGCCAGUGGGUGAGGGAUGCGAAGGGCGCCGUCGUCAACGCCGUCAUGCCGCAUCCCACGCUGGCGCGUCGCGGCCACAAUCUCCAUGUUGCUCCUCUGCCCUUGCCGCCACCGUUUUGCAUCUAGCACUGCUGAUGGCGGCGGUCAGCCUCCACCUCCCUCCGUCCACCUUCCCCUGCACUGGAUGGAUGUGUUGUUGCCGCUCUACCAGGCUGCGCGGAUGAAGCGAGUCCGCUGAAAGAGCAAGGGAGGACGAUGAGGGGGGGUAGCCAAUCUGGUUUUCGUUCUAACAAUUUUGGGAGAAGAGGAGGAUCAGAUGGGGACGGUAGAGAAGGGCUCGUGGGUGGUGCCGGCACUGACUUGGAGGGAGGUGGAGGACGCCGGGCUUCAGGUGCGGCCGCUCGCUCAUCGCAGUCACUUCAGUUCGGUUACACAAACUUGAACACAUCACGACGAGAUUCGUAGGCCUUCUUGCGCUUGCUCUGAUGUCUCUGUCCUCUUCGGUGAUGCCAUCACCAUCAUCCAUUCCCAGUGCCCCCAUGAAGCAAUUGGAUACACCAUGACAGAUUCACUCUGUCGGCACAAGCUAUACGCCAAUAUUUCUUCCUCGUGCAAGGAGCUACAUCUCUGAUCUGGUCAUAACCCAUACCUUUCGUAAGAGUGCGAAAGCAAGAAGCCAUUUUUUUGGUUAGUAUAAUUAUCUGAUCCUGACAUUUAUAUCUUGUAAAUAUUUGAUCAACCAUUUGACUUUCUUGUCUCCUAAAUAUUCCACCCGAGCUUACAAUUCUGGUGUUUGGUGUAUAUAAAGCCCCUAUUUUGUUUGGUGUAUAUUAUUGUACAUUCGAAAAUUAGUAGAAAGUUAAUGGAACUAUUGUUAAUGUGUAGCAUUUCAAUUCAGUGAGCACUGUGUCUAGCACUUCAAUAAAGUGAGCAUUUGCAGUGACCCCUUUGUCUCUGCAUUGUUUGGUGUCGUCAAUGGCAAAAGGUGAUGAGCUUUGCAACCUUGUUGCUUUCCUUUUCAUUUGAUUUAGGAAUGAUAAAUGAUUGUUAGAUUGCAUGGUAGGCAAAUUGAACACCAAAUUAUUCAAUAUACUUGCCUUGAUGCUUGUAACUCACAUGCAAAAAAAUAAAUCACUUGUUGGGAGUCAGUGUAAUAGGUCCCCUGUGUGUGGUGGGCAUGGCUCUUGACCUGUGUCCAUCCUCGGCUCUCGACCUGUGUCCAUGUUAGCAUAGAUUGCUUUGGGUGUCAUAGGUUAUUCUUUUGGUUGACGAUGUGCAGAUGUUAGUGUCAUCGCAGGUGGGACAAUAAUGGCAUAGACAAAGCGAUCGCCAUGAGCGUGGGCUACCUACGAUCGGAUGGUUAUUCCUGUCACAACACACGGACAUGAUCAUAACUUGCAAUUUGAUGUCUUAUCAUUCCUUCAGUUGUGGUUGCUGAUUAGGUAGCCCUUGCAAGGGCAGUCGAAGAAUGGAUAGCGGGUAAGGAAAUGAUGGUGUCACCCAAGCAAGAGCGUAUUGGAAUCCUGAUCCAAUAAUCAUGAAUGGUUAAGAUGAUUUAUUUAAUAUCAUCGUGUAAAUGUAUCACCCUUCAUACAUGAUAUUGGUCCAUAAUGGUAUGGUUGGACAUUAUUUUAUUUCUAUGGCAAUGCAUGGGCUCUAUUAUUUUAA